AUUGAACGCUAACGGCGUGCUUAACACAUGCAAGUCGAACGGCAGCACAGUAUGUAGCAAUACAUAUGGGUGGCGAGUGGCGGACGGGUGAGUAAUACGUAGGAAUCUACCUUGUAGUGGGGGAUAACCCGGGGAAACUCGGGCUAAUACCGCAUAAUCUUUACGAAGCAAAGAGGGCCUCUGAAUAUGCUCUUGCUAAAAGAUGAGCCUACGUCGGAUUAGCUAGUUGGUGGGGUAAAGGCCUACCAAGGCGACGAUCCGUAGCUGGUCCGAGAGGAUGAUCAGCCACACUGGGACUGAGACACGGCCCAGACUCCUACGGGAGGCAGCAGUGGGGAAUAUUGGACAAUGGGCGAAAGCCUGAUCCAGCAACGCCGUGUGUGUGAAGAAGGCCUUAGGGUUGUAAAGCACUUUCAGUGGGGAAGAAAAGUUCAAGGCUAAUACCCUUGAAUCUUGACGUUACCCACAGAAUAAGCACCGGCUAACUACGUGCCAGCCGCCGCAGUAA
rnacentral:rRNA from 1 species